UACGGAGGGUGCAAGCAUUAAUCGGAUUUACUGGGCGUAAAGGGCGCGUAGGCGGGCGAAUAAGUUAGAUGUGAAAUUUCGGUGCUCAACACCGAAGCUGCAUUUAAAACUGUUUGUCUUGAGGGUAGGCGGAGAAAAUGGAAUUCCACGUGUAGCGGUGAAAUGCGUAGAUAUGUGGAAGAACACCGGUGGCGAAAGCGAUUUUCUAGCUUAUACCUGACGCUGAGGCGCGAGAGCAAGGGUAGCAAACAGG
rnacentral:rRNA from 1 species